rnacentral:rRNA from 1 species
GACGAACCGUGCGAACGUUGUUCGGAUUCACUGGGCUUAAAGGGCGCGUAGGCGGCUCGGCAAGUCGGGGGUGAAAUCUUUCAGCUCAACUGGAAAAGGGCCCCCGAUACUGCCGGGCUGGAGGGAGGUAGGGGCACGCGGAACUCCGGUGGAGCGGUGAAAUGCGUAGAUAUCGGAAGGAACGCCGGUGGCGAAAGCGGCGUGCUGGAUCUCCACUGACGCUGGAGGCGCGAAAGCCAGGGGAGCAAACGGGG